CUAUUCGUCCGUAUUGUAUAUCCGUACCGGUCUUACGGAACGGCCUGUAGAACGCGAGCGCGGCAAGAAACGGCUUCUAUUUCGUCUAUCCUCGUGUACAGUCGUGUAUAGUCGCGCGUACCGGCGAACUAAGCAACACAGUGCACGGCAUAAGUGAAAGUGAUUCAGCAGCGCAUGCCAGCGCGCGGGCUGCGCGCCGACCACGACGACGACGACGGGCAGCAGCAGCAGCAGCAGCCAGGUGCCUCUGGAGUAGUAGUGGUGUACGGCGGAGGUGACUUCGUCAUGAGGCUACACUACUAGAGGAUCGGGACGAGGAGGUGGACCAUGCUACGACGACGACGACAACGGCGGCGGCGAUGACGACCGACGCCACCACCGACGGCGCAGCAGUAGCUGUGUAUACGAUGACGAUCAUGAGAGGGAGAUCCGAAGUAGUGGGGAUGACCCACUUACGGAACCAGGUCUAUGUCGGCCGAGGAAAUAUUGUCCGUCUAUACGACGGAUUGCCAUCCGUUGGAGAGAACGAUACGCUUUUAUUUUUUUAUAAGAUUCCGUCCACGAGGCAUCAUACUUGCUCGUAAUCACUCUCGAAUGAGAUAUUGAAUGACUUUUUGUAUACGUCACGUAGAAGAGUUUUCAACUGUUAAACCGUUGCUGGGCAUUCGACGUGACGGAUGAUCUUUCUUGCGAGACUGGAUUAUCGAUACUGAAAUAUACGCCUGGGACUGGAUAGAUACUGGAAAUUCAUUCCAGGUAUAAUCGAGACGAAGACGCGGCAUUUAGAUUGAAAUAAAGCUCUUGACGCAACAUUCAUAAAUUAAUUCUCUCGAGUACUGUAGGACUGGUGCUCGAUGUUUGAACCAAGAUAGAAAAUUCGUUUAAAUGAAGACAUAUAUUUUCGGACGGGACUCUUGCUUUCGCGGAACAGUCAGGAGUCUGAUCUACGAUCAGGCAUGGCAAUCAGAGCAGUCAGGGCAGCCACAGGAACAGCACGCAGAGCACGCAGGAGGCCGCACAGGCCGUGGAUGGGUCAACAGCAACGCCGUUGGCACUCCCCGACAGCUAGUGCCUGGCUUUGUGUAUGCCGGAGUAGAUGUGCGGACAGAGCCUGGUGGGGGGACCCACUGACCCAGUUCGCUGAGAACAUGACGCAGCCGCGACUCACUCCCUCUCAUUAUCUCUCUUUCUGUCUUCUCUCUUUUAUACCCCUGGCUCAGUCUCUCUCUCUCUCUCUCUCUCUCUCUCUCUCUUUCUCUAUCUUCCCGCCUCUCACCGCUCGCUUCUUACCGCCUUGCACAUAUACGUUACACGUAUAUACAUUGCUCGUGCCGAUCUUCCACUCUUGUCCUACACGUAUCAGAAUCCGCAUAGUCUCUACUCUCUUACUCUCGCGGUAACCCAUCCGACACGGUCUUGUAUUCCUAUACUGCUAUUCCUUUCUCUCUCUCUUGCUUAUCUAUCGCGCGCUGCAGUCUCUCUUUUUCUUAUCUGUCCCAUACGACGCGUAGACUUGCACUUCUGCAAUUAUGGCGCGCGCGCAGAUGCAUAACGUAAUGUAUGAAAUGCAAGCGACUGGAAUGAUGUAUUUAGAAAAUUUUUUCAAAAAAAAAAAAUUUUUAGUUUAAAAAAUUUUUUUUCUUAUAUUUACCAGGAGUAUUGGUAUAAAAGAGGUUCGACUUUUUUUUUUAACUAUUCCUUCUUUCAGUUCGUGUAUGCUUGUGCUGCCCUCAGGUAUAUACCAAUUUUGCCAGGUAAAAUUAUGCCCGAACGAAAGGGUUACGACGUGGGAUUUCGCUUGUGGGAUGAGAGAAAAAUGAAAGAAAGAAAAAACAACGUCGUCAGUGAAUGGACGAAAGCGAGAAUAACGGAGAUCAGUGUCUGAACGAAAGCGAAGCCUGACCUACUGAAUUCUAAAUAUGCUGAAAGACGGCACGGACGAAAUUCCUACUGGCGCUGAAGAAACGUCCCGUUUGAACGACACGCAGGCACUACCCAGAUAAAGACUACGAGAGUCAGUGCAACAAUUAAUAACAAUUACGACCGACGUCGGUAUAUUGAUAUAUAUAUAUAUAUAUUACAACAAAAAUGCAUAAAAACGAUAUUUAAUAAUGCAAAACAUUUUUCAUCGUUGGCCAAGUAACCCGGAGCAACAAAAAUAAAUAAAAAUAAAACGUGCGCACUAAGGAUUAUCUCGACUAACUUUGUACGACAGUAAAACAUCGCGUUCCCAUCUCCGUGACAUUAUUAUGCAUGUAUAACGUAUACACUUAUCGCCUCGUUCGAAGUAUAUUUUUAUCACUGACCUACAUGAUGCUGGGCAAGUGUAUGAUACAAAAAAAAAAAAAAUAAAAAAGAAAAGUAAAAAUUUGUAAAGCCUAUUAAAAGCGUGAAAAAAAGUUCUUGUAAGACAUAACCUAAAAAUCCGCAAUAAAAAGUGUCACAAAGGUGUCACUGAUUUUCAUGCGUCUAUUAACACUGACAAAAUAGACUAUCGUCCUGUCCAUUAUUCCAACGGUUAUUCAUUACUAUUAUUAUUAUUAAUAUUUAAUAUAAAAAUUAUUCCAACAGGUACCCUGUGGUUCCUAUAGCUGUCUCGCACCGUCAGGGCCAAGCGCGGCGCUAAAUUUCAUGAAGUUGGUACACAGUGCCGAGAAACUAGCUGGGUCGAAGUGUAACGUUGCGAAAGGCAAAUUUGGGAAUAUGUACGCAAGAGAACUGAUCGCCGAUCAAAGCAAACGUGCAACGGCAGGCUUAACGACCGGUGAAAACGACACGGUCUGAUAAACGAGGGAAAUAAAAUGAAAUGCAAAAAAUUCAUUUCAGGUGCCGCGACACGCUUCGUUAGGAAAUUAUUGCCACUGUGGUUUCGCGAGACUUCCUCGUGCCUGCUGACAAUUCGACAAACUUCCUGCCUGGUUUUAAUAUGCCCUUUGACGUACCAGGCGUGAUACUUAUAUGACAAACGGAAUUCCUCUUCUAUGUUAUUAUUAAUUAAAGAUCGAUUGUCAUUUUGUAUUGGAUAUUCUCAUCGUGACGCAGAGUCGUGCCUAAAGGAGCUUUGAAAAGAUGCCGACGGUCACGACAUGCCUAAUACCUUCUAACGUUACGUAGGCAUGCCAGUACCUUACUUGUAAUAUUUGUCACAAGUAUUUAGAGUCGUGUACGUGUGCCUUUUCAUUAUUGUAUAUAUAUAUAUACAUUUAUACACACAAAAUACUUUAUAUAUAUAUAUAUAGUAUAUAUAUUUUCAUGCGUCUCCGUGUGUAAAAAUAUAUAUCUGCAUAUAUAUGCAGAUAUGCUUAUGUGUGCAAAGUGUGCCAAGGCCUGUCCCACUCUGCAAUCCCAUUUUCGAAACUAAAAGUAAAAUCUAACUCAUUGUGUCGUUACCAAUGGCGUUACCGUAAUAUAUUUAUGGCACGUUUUAUAAGCGCUUAAAGAAAAGUGCGUCCCAUUGGGGAUCAUAUUUUUACGAAUCUGUCGCAACGGAUCUAGCGGACGAAUUUAACGGUCUUUUACGAAAUUCUAUAUACGACCAAUAGGAAUCGUCGAUAGGGAUAAAGGAGAUAGUGAGCGAGCCAAUCACAGAGCGCAGUUUAUAAGACAGAGGUAUGAGAGUCGAGGUUCGAAGGGAAUUAUUAAAAUAUGUCAAAAUAAGCAGAUAAAGAAAAACAGAAGAUUUCAUCACGCGUCUCCUUCGAGCAUUCUUCCUACGCCAAAAGGUAAGACCUUGAGCGAAAAAUUCGAUAGGGAUCGAUCAGUACUCAUGCAUUAUCCACGACCUUAUCCCAGAAUCGUAACGAGCGACAGUCGCUCCUCCUUCGAUCGGGCAUCGUCGCGUCACGACGAUUUGCCAGCGCCGCCGGCACCUCUGGCGGAUCGUACGAGUACUAGUGACAAUUGACUGUUUAUUAGCAAAUGUCGAGUCCGGGAGAGAAAAUUCGUGGAGUAAACGUUUAAACCUGAAAUUGCGUCUACGAGUUUGUUCGUGUAGUAACAUUGGAGAUUUCCUUUAGCGACAGUCGAGACCUUCGAGAUACUCGGGUGAUAUCUAGUCGUUCCGUUAGAAAUCGGCUUUUAUCACAACAAUGAUUCUCGUCUCUACGUAAGAGACAAAUGCAUGCGACGUUAACCUCUAAAAAUAGUAAAACCAAUCUCUUAAUUUCCAUAGGGAAUUCGGAAUAACCCUCCCCGCUCCCGCCCCCUGACGUCUGUACGUAGAAAUAGUCGACCAAGAAAUGGCUUCUCGGUAGCGUCCGGUUUUAUUCGCGAAACGCGAACCGCCGUUUUGCAGCCCAGUUCGCACGUCCUUGACACAGUUACCCACAUGGGGCUACCAGCAGGCGUCGCUGUGUUUGCCAGCGUCGCGACGGCGCACAUAGUAUCACCUGAGUGUGUUGGUUACGACACGGGGCACGAUGCUGAACCGCGAUGAGACAGUCUACUUUUUUGAUCGAUGCGCAAAUAAGACAAGAGAUUCAAGACGGACGUAGAAGUCCGUCGAAGAUUUUUCUUUUUCCUACGAAGAGUACCGGAUAUCGAGGGUACCGAGAGUGAGACAAAAAAAUGUAAGGAAAAUAUUUAAGAGAGAGUGCGACUUGAGUAUCCCAAUUAUACAGCCUGUUGCGUGUCCGCCCGAAGCACGCCAUACCCUUAAGUGGACGUGGUGCCAUCUACAGAGAGAAGCCGGGGGGUUUAUACGAGGUACGGAGUGUGGCGUUUACAGUGGGUAUAAUAAGGUACGUCGCUGGAAAGGGCGAGUCGUAAAUUAAGGGUGGGUGUAAAUAUUUUGAAAGCGUUUUCAAAAUUGGCUUAACGAAUUACGUGCAAUUCGUAACGGUAAUUCCUAGUGACCCAGUGACCCUGAGUUACCACCGUCCUUUAGAAAAGAGCCCUUGUCUAAUAUCCCUCUCUCUUCAUCUCUUUUUUCAUCUCGCAGAAGAAGCGCUUACGAAAACGGGCAGGAACUUUCUUAUUUUAUGGUUGACAAUUGUCCCGAAGUGGACACAUGCCAGCCAUGAAGUUACAAAACGGCGUACACCAAGUAGCCACGGCAGAGGACGGAUAGCUCCGCGCCCUCGGACGGUAAAACCAGUUAUUGAGGCUGUAAAGCCAAAAUUUAUUCGUCCGCAGGAGUAUCGUCCGAGAAGAAGAAGUAAGAAAGAGAGAAAAAGGAGAAAGGAUAGGAUUCAGGCUCAAAUCCAUUUCACCUUCGCCCUAAUAAAACAGGCACGCAUCCACCGAGACGUAAUCUGACGGAAUCCACGGUAAAGAAACAACCCGACUCGAAAUGAAGAUUGCUCUGACAAUUCCAAAAAAAAAAAAACAACCAACAUGGCAACACGCAGAGCGACUACCAGUAACUACCUAAUAACCAUUACGAUUGAAACAAGCACUCGUCGAAGGUCGCACAUGUGAGUCGAGAUCUCGCACGCCAUUACGACUAGGUACGGGGACUAGUAAUAAGGAGGGCAUAAUGGGAGCCAUAACAAUUCCAAGCAGCCCGGACGAAAGCCUGUCAGGUAUAGGAGUCUCGAGCAAGGACUAGGUCGCACUGGGAAUAUUUUCAACUUACAGCUACCGAAAGCCAUCCGGGGCUUGUUACAUUGUCCACGAUAAAGCCGAAGGCAUUUUAAUUCAUUAAAAUCAGCCAGGAGGAGCCACCGCGAAAGAAAAACAAAGGCGCAACGUGGUAAAUCCAAAUGCACCUCAAUAGCGUCCCACGCGUUCAUAACCUACAAAUAAAUUUACAAAGUGAACCUGCGUCUCCGUUACAGUCCAUAUAUAUAUAUAUACAUACAUACAGGAUGUCAAAGCAGGUUUUCCUUACGACAAGCCAGUACAGCAAAGACACAGCCAAGCAAUGGUAAGCGACCGCAAGUGGGAGAAAGUCUUUCACGUGUAGCCAAGAAGCGAGGAGGCGCGAAAAGUGACGCGGCAACUCUUACUUUCUUCCCGUGCGUUCCUUUCGUUGGCAAUGGAACUAGUUACGUCUGUUACGUUAUGCGGUUACGAGAGGUACGAGGGAGGAGGAGCUACUACCUCGAGAGCCCCGUGAAGUAAGCCACUCUCAUCGACUCUCCUUUCUCCGUCGGCACUGUUACGGAACAGCGGCCCUCUCUCUUUCUCUUUCCCGUACUUUCAUCCCGGCCGUCCACGUAAUGACCAAGCCGAGUAGGUACGCCGUCGAGCUCCAAUUAUCCUUACUCCUCUAUCUCGUUACGUGUACUACUUACCUCUCUCUCGCUCUUUCUGAGAUACCAACAAGAAAUCUACCUGGCAACUCCCUCGAGACAAAGAAUACCCAACGAUGUUACUACACGCACCACUGACUCCGCGUAUAUAUUUCCACUUGAACACGUGUCCGGCCUUAACGUCUGUGCGUAUAUAUAUAUAUAUAUAUAUGCUUAUGUACGGCCGCACGCAAUAAUAAUUAUCCACAAAGGGGAACGACGGAUAUAUAUAUAUAUAUAUAUAUAUGCUAGAGCGUGCAAUGCACUUGCUGGUAAUUGCUUUCGUUUCGGCACGACGCAUCGCCAUUGCGAUUGUCUUGAAAAAAGAAAUAUAUAUACAUAUAUAGUAUAUCGACCGGAUAAGGGUCGAUGGUUACUCAUUAGACGCUCUUACGUGGCAAGAUAAGCGAUAAGCGUUCUGUGACAAGAGUUAGACAGUGACAGUAUCCGUGAAGUAUACGUUAAAAAGAAAUUAUAAAACGAACCGACAGAUGGCGCUUCUGUCGAAAGAAAAAAAUAAAUAAAAUUAGCAUCGAUACAUUUUUACGUAGAUACAGAAGGUGAUCGGGUUGAGAUAAGAGUCGCUGAUAACGAGGUCAGGAUCGUCAUUGGGAAUGAUCGUUAAAAACAGGAAGCCGUAUGUCUGCCGCUUAUAGAGCCGUCGCGGGUAGCCAUCGUUUGGCGAAGAAGAAUAAUCGGGUCAAGUUGAAGGGAUGGCGGCUGAGUUGAACGCCGGAGGCUCGAGUUUGACGUUUCUCUUGUUGGGGUCAAAGGGUGCGAUUAAGGGGACGAAGGGGACGACUGAAAGAUAGGAGAAAGAGGCUACGAAGGGUUCUCCGAGGUUAGUUGAUUUAACGUAGGGUUAAAGCGGGACUGAUCCUCGGAUGCUGAGGAUCCCGCUGUACCCGUGGGCCAAGACUUUGAGGAAGUCUUUCCUGAAUCUUCCUACCGGCAUAAUUAUAUAGCCGAUGACGAGCUUUAUCAGUUGCGAUAACGUGCGCGAUAACGAAUGUAGGUCAGUUUGAUAUGACUGACCUGAUUCUUUGCUGGCUCCGCGUUACAGCGUUCUCAGUUCGCAUGCGUAACUACCUAUGUAUACCUCUGGCUUUGGCUAUGAUAUAUAUAUAUAUAUAUAUAUAUAUAUAUUGACACAUUUGUUAUAUAUAAUGCAUAGACCGUGUACAUAAUGCAAUAUGUAUGCAAGAGUCGUCAUAUAGAUAUACAGUUAUCAUUGCGCCAAGUUGAAAUUGUGUAUUGCCAUGUUUAUUUUCGCUAUAUAUAUAUAUAUAUACAUACAUAUAUAUACCAUACGUCCAAUUACGUAAUGACUAGAGCGCACGUCGCUCGUACGAUACGCGAUCGCGAUCCUUGUCAUUCCGGAAGAAGUAUCGGACGCUCGAAGCGAUAGCUGAGGUCUUUUCGCGGGUCGCCGCUAUCGAUAAGAUUGCUUAGAGCGAUAUCAGUGCUUGAAUAUAAAUGUCAGAAUGCGAUUGGA